UACGUAGGGUGCAAGCGUUAAUCGGAAUUACUGGGCGUAAAGCGUGCGCAGGCGGUCUGCUAAGAGAGGUGUGAAAUCCCCCGGGCUUAACCUGAGAACUGCGCUUCUAACUGGCAGGCUAGAGUGUGGCAGAGGGGGGUGGAAUUCCACGUGUAGCAGUGAAAUGCGUAGAGAUGUGGAGGAACACCGAUGGCGAAGGCAGCCCCCUGGGCUAACACUGACGCUCAGGCACGAAAGCGUGGGGAGCAAACAGG
rnacentral:rRNA from 1 species